rnacentral:rRNA from 1 species
CCUACGGGCGGCAGCAGUGGGGGAUAUUGCACAAUGGGGGAAACCCUGAUGCAGCGACGCCGCGUGGGUGAAGAAGUAUUUCGGUAUGUAAAGCCCUAUCAGCAGGGAAGAAAGAAGACGGUACCUGACUAAGAAGCCCCGGCUAACUACGUGCCAGCAGCCGCGGUAAUACGUAGGGGGCGAGCGUUAUCCGGAUUCACUGGGUGUAAAGGGAGCGUAGACGGCCGUGAAAGCCAGGAGUGAAAGCCCGGGGCCCAACCCCGGGACUGCCCUUGGAACUGUGCGGCUGGAGUGCGGGAGGGGCAGGCGGAAGUCCUGGUGUAGCGGUGAAAUGCGUAGAUAUCAGGAGGAACACCGGCGGCGAAGGCGGCCUGCUGGACCGCGACUGACGUUGAGGCUCGAAAGCGUGGGGAGCGAACAGGAUUAGAUACCCUUGUAGUC